rnacentral:rRNA from 1 species
UGGCUCAGGAUGAACGCUAGCUACAGGCUUAACACAUGCAAGUCGAGGGGCAGCAUGAAAGUAGCUUGCUACUUUGAUGGCGACCGGCGCACGGGUGCGUAACACGUGUCCAAUCUACCCAUGGCUCAGGGAUAGCCUUUCGAAAGAAAGAUUAAUACCUGAUGGUUUCAUGAGCCCGCAUGGACUUAUGAAUAAAGAUUUAUCGGCGAUGGAUGAGGAUGCGUCCAAUUAGAUAGUAGGCGGGGUAACGGCCCACCUAGUCGACGAUCGGUAGGGGCUCUGAGAGGAGGAUCCCCCACAUUGGAACUGAGACACGGUCCAAACUCCUACGGGAGGCAGCAGUGAGGAAUAUUGGUCAAUGGGCGAGAGCCUGAACCAGCCAAGUAGCGUAGGAGGGAUGACUGCCCUAUGGGUUGUAAACCUCUUUUGUUUGGGAAUAAAGUGAGCCACGUGUGGUCUUUUUGUAUGUACCUUACGAAUAAGCAUCGGCUAAUUCCGUGCCAGCCGCGGC